rnacentral:sRNA from 1 species
UUAACAUUUGCCUAAAAUUUAGAAAGUAGAAUAUAAGUAUAAAACUUGCAUAUCAUGUAUGUGAUUGGAUACUCCCUGGCUACAUUAUUGGAGUUCCUUUCUAAAAUGUUGUGAAAGGGAAAUUGCAGUGUUUGAAGGAAUAAAAACAAAACAAAGUAAAAAUGUCUAACUAGCAUGAAUCUCAAUUCCACAUAAAAAUGUUUAUAGGGAGUGUGACUACUCACUCCCUCAAAGCUUGCAAUGAAUGAAAUAUGGAGUGAAAAAAAGAUAAAAAUUGUGUUCAUGUGUAUUAAAAUGGUUGCUGCAAGCUCAUCAUUAUAUACAUAACUUCUUGGUCCUCUAGCUUGUGGUAAAUCACACUCUGCUUUUAGUAAUGUAGUUAAAUUUUCUAACUUUUGCCAUACCUCUUCUUGGUUUCACUGUACAAUAUAACUCCAAUGACAGUGAGUGCAUACCCAAACAUCCCCAUCAUUGAAAUGGGGUUUUUGAAUAUCAAAAUUGAGAUCACCACAGCAACUGCUCCCUUUGCAUUUCCCAAUACCUGAAGGGUUAGUGCACUAGUAUGUUUCGUCACCAAAAAGUUAGUCAGGUUCACAAAAUAUGCAAGAGAAGAACUGAGAAGCAGAUACCAAAAAAUUCUGAUAUCCUUUCUGGCAAGAUCUAUUGUGAUUCCAACCACAUUUCCCUCCAUAAACAAUGUUGCAGGAAGUAAGACCAUCAC